rnacentral:tRNA from 1 species
GGGGUUGUGGCUCAGUGGUAGAGCGCUUGCCUAGCACGUGUGAGGCACUGGGUUCAAUUCUCAGCACCA